GUAGGUGGCAAGCGUUGUCCGGAAUUAUUGGGCGUAAAGCGCGCGCAGGCGGUUCUUUAAGUCUGAUGUGAAAGCCCACGGGCUCAACCGUGGAGGGUCAUUGGAAACUGGAGAACUUGAGUACAGAAGAGGAAAGCGGAAUUCCACGUGUAGCGGUGAAAUGCGUAGAGAUGUGGAGGAACACCAGUGGCGAAGGCGGCUUUCUGGUCUGUAACUGACACUGAGGCGCGAAAGCGUGGGGAGCAAACAGGAUUAGAUACCCUGGUAGUCCACGCCGUAAACGAUGAGUGCUAAGUGUUAGGGGGUUUCCGCCCCUUAGUGCUGCAGCUAACGCAUUAGCACUCCGCCUGGGGAGUACGGCCGCAAGGCUG
rnacentral:rRNA from 1 species